GAUGAACGCUGGCGGCGUGCCUAAUACAUGCAAGUCGAGCGAACAGACGAGGAGCUUGCUCCUCUGACGUUAGCGGCGGACGGGUGAGUAACACGUGGAUAACCUACCUAUAAGACUGGGAUAACUUCGGGAAACCGGAGCUAAUACCGGAUAAUAUAUUGAACCGCAUGGUUCAAUAGUGAAAGACGGUUUUGCUGUCACUUAUAGAUGGAUCCGCGCCGCAUUAGCUAGUUGGUAAGGUAACGGCUUACCAAGGCGACGAUGCGUAGCCGACCUGAGAGGGUGAUCGGCCACACUGGAACUGAGACACGGUCCAGACUCCUACGGGAGGCAGCAGUAGGGAAUCUUCCGAAAUGGGCGAAAGCCUGACGGAGCAACGCCGCGUUAGUGAUGAAGGUCUUCGGAUCGUAAAACUCUGUUAUUAGGGAAGAACAAAUGUGUAAGUAACUAUGCACGUCUUGACGGUACCUAAUCAGAAAGCCACGGCUAACUACGUG
rnacentral:rRNA from 1 species